GCGCAGAUAAAUUUCUCUGAGUGUUAAGAACACUGAAAUGAAGCAAAGGCAAAGAAAGCCGCUGUAAUUUUGAGUUGGCAUCGCUCGGCGUGCAGUCGAUAAAGGAGCAUAGCAAAAAGCAAAAUUUGACGUGUUGGCAGCAUUGAUCUGUCAGGUCAGUUUCCGUGAAAAGCGAGAAAGAAAAGGAGCUUGCAAAAAAGGUGCCAUCGGUCGGAAAGACGCUCGUCGGUCGGAACGAAUUUCCGAGCGUGGGAUUGCUUAACCGACAGGCUCGCUCCGCCGAUUGGUAACCAAAAAACAAACUACCGCGAAGCGGGAAAUUUUGGUUGAUAGGCAACAACCGGGACCGGAAAAGGCCAAGUGACCGCUUUCGGGUGAAAAAACACCCUGCGAUCGCGCAAAAAUUUUGUCGGUGACCCACCACGAGGCGCUCGGAAACUCAAAACCGGGAAC